CUGCUAUACAUGCAAGUCGAACGAGUUCUGAUUAUUGAAAGGUGCUUGCAUCUUGAUUUAAUUUUGAACGAGUGGCGGACGGGUGAGUAACACGUGGGUAACCUGCCCUUAAGUGGGGGAUAACAUUUGGAAACAGAUGCUAAUACCGCAUAAAUCCAAGAACCGCAUGGUUCUUGGCUGAAAGAUGGCGUAAGCUAUCGCUUUUGGAUGGACCCGCGGCGUAUUAGCUAGUUGGUGAGGUAACGGCUCACCAAGGCAAUGAUACGUAGCCGAACUGAGAGGUUGAUCGGCCACAUUGGGACUGAGACACGGCCCAAACUCCUACGGGAGGCAGCAGUAGGGAAUCUUCCACAAUGGACGCAAGUCUGAUGGAGCAACGCCGCGUGAGUGAAGAAGGCUUUCGGGUCGUAAAACUCUGUUGUUGGAGAAGAAUGGUCGGCAGAGUAACUGUUGUCGGCGUGACGGUAUCCAACCAGAAAGCCACGGCUAACUACGUGCCAGCAGCCGCGGUAAUACGUAGGUGGCAAGCGUUAUCCGGAUUUAUUGGGCGUAAAGCGAGCGCAGGCGGUUUUUUAAGUCUGAUGUGAAAGCCCUCGGCUUAACCGAGGAAGUGCAUCGGAAACUGGGAAACUUGAGUGCAGAAGAGGACAGUGGAACUCCAUGUGUAGCGGUGAAAUGCGUAGAUAUAUGGAAGAACACCAGUGGCGAAGGCGGCUGUCUGGUCUGUAACUGACGCUGAGGCUCGAAAGCAUGGGUAGCGAACAGGAUUAGAUACCCUGGUAGUCCAUGCCGUAAACGAUGAAUGCUAGGUGUUGGAGGGUUUCCGCCCUUCAGUGCCGCAGCUAACGCAUUAAGCAUUCCGCCUGGGGAGUACGACCGCAAGGUUGAAACUCAAAGGAAUUGACGGGGGCCCGCACAAGCGGUGGAGCAUGUGGUUUAAUUCGAAGCAACGCGAAGAACCUUACCAGGUCUUGACAUCUUUUGAUCACCUGAGAGAUCAGGUUUCCCCUUCGGGGGCAAAUGACAGGUGGUGCAUGGUUGUCGUCAGCU
rnacentral:rRNA from 1 species